UGGGCCCGAGUUUGAUCAUGGCUCAGAACGAACGCUGGCGGCAGGCUUAACACAUGCAAGUCGAGCGCCCCGCAAGGGGAGCGGCAGACGGGUGAGUAACACGUGGGAAUAUGCCUUUCGGUUCGGAACAACUCGGGGAAACCCGUGCUAAUUCCGGAUACGCCCUUACGGGGAAAGAUUUAUCGCCGAAAGAUUAGCCCGCGUUGGAUUAGCUUGUUGGUGAGGUAAAGGCUCACCAAGGCGACGAUCCAUAGCUGGUUUGAGAGAACGACCAGCCACACUGGGACUGAGACACGGCCCAGACUCCUACGGGAGGCAGCAGUGGGGAAUCUUGGACAAUGGGGGAAACCCUGAUCCAGCCAUGCCGCGUGAGUGAUGAAGGCCUUCGGGUUGUAAAACUCUUUUGGCGGGGACGAUAAUGACGGUACCCGCAGAAUAAGCUCCGGCUAACUUCGUGCCAGCAGCCGCGGUAA
rnacentral:rRNA from 1 species